rnacentral:rRNA from 1 species
GUCUACGGCCAUACCACGUUGAAAACACCGGUUCUCGUCUGAUCACCGAAGUUAAGCAACGUCGGGCCCGGCUAGUACUUGGAUGGGUGACCGCCUGGGAAUACCGGGUGCUGUAGACU